rnacentral:rRNA from 1 species
UGGGGAAUUUUCCGCAAUGGGCGAAAGCCUGACGGAGCAAUGCCGCGUGGAGGUGGAAGGCCUACGGGUCGUCAACUUCUUUUCUCGGAGAAGAAACAAUGACGGUACCUGAGGAAUAAGCAUCGGCUAACUCUGUGCCAG